rnacentral:lncRNA from 1 species
GCAUGUUUUUAACAGCCCCGCAGAACUCAUUAGGUGCCCUAGGGUUGAGGAUUUCUGCUUACGAAUAAGGCUUGUAUUAUUAAGUCUGUAUUUUCUUUAAACCACUCCUUUCAGGAUUCUAUUUUGUAUAACCCAAUAAUUAACUCCAAUAGACUAAUCCAUACCAAGGCACUGUGUGUGUGUGUGCCACCCAAGAAAGAGAUCAAGCUUCUCCAUCAACCUUCUAACUUACCUUCCUUCCAUAAAGACACUGAUAGAAGAUCACACCCACCGACCACACAUCAACUUUAUUUGAGAUCUUUGGUGGUUCUUUCCCAACCACAAAACACUCUGGUGGUAAAUACCUGGUUUGAGGUCAUAGUGUAUGAUGGGAGGUUUUAUUUCAUUUAAGUACUUUAAAGCAUUCACAAUCUGCAUGAUAAUGGACCGGGCCUCUUUCUCCGACAUUAAUUUGUGCUGUUUCAGGUAGAAGUCCAGAUCAUUUCCCUCACAGUAUUCUAAUACUGUACAAAACC